rnacentral:tRNA from 1 species
GUUUUAAUAGUUUAAUAAAAAUUUUGAUUUUGUAAAUCUAAGAUAAGAAAUCUCUUUUAAAACU